UUUCAAAAAUAUUUUAAGAAGAAAUAUUAGUUUUGGAGAUUGGGGGAAGGGGAACUUAAUUUGAAAA
rnacentral:tRNA from 1 species